GAUGAACGCUGGCGGCGUGCCUAAUACAUGCAAGUCGAGCGAACAGAUGAGGAGCUUGCUCCUCUGACGUUAGCGGCGGACGGGUGAGUAACACGUGGAUAACCUACCUAUAAGACUGGGAUAACUUCGGGAAACCGGAGCUAAUACCGGAUAAUAUUUUGAACCGCAUGGUUCAAUAGUGAAAGACGGUUUUGCUGUCACUUAUAGAUGGAUCCGCGCUGCAUUAGCUAGUUGGUAAGGUAACGGCUUACCAAGGCAACGAUGCGUAGCCGACCUGAGAGGGUGAUCGGCCACACUGGAACUGAGACACGGUCCAGACUCCUACGGGAGGCAGCAGUAGGGAAUCUUCCGCAAUGGGCGAAAGCCUGACGGAGCAACGCCGCGUGAGUGAUGAAGGUCUUCGGAUCGUAAAACUCUGUUAUUAGGGAAGAACAAAUGUGUAAGUAACUAUGCACGUCUUGACGGUACCUAAUCAGAAAGCCACGGCUAACUACGUG
rnacentral:rRNA from 1 species